UAGGGAAUUUUCGGCAAUGGGGGGAAACCCUGACCGAGCAAUGCCGCGUGAAUGAUGAAGGUCUUCGGAUCGUAAAGUUCUGUUGUUAAGGAAGAACUAUGGGAUUAGGAAAUGAGUUCCAUUUGACGGUACUUAACUAGAAAGCCCCGGCUAACUAUGUGCCAGCAGCCGCGGUAAUACAUAGGGGGCAAGCGUUAUCCGGAAUUAUUGGGCGUAAAGCGUGCGUAGGCGGUUUAUUAAGUCUGAUGUUAAAUUCCACAGCUUAACUGUGGCAUGUCAUUGGAAACUGGUAAACUUGAGUACAGUAGGGGUAAGCGGAAUUCCAAGUGGAGCGGUGGAAUGCGUAGAUAUUUGGAGGAACACCAGUGGCGAAGGCGACUUACUGGGCUGGGACUGACGCUGAGGCACGAAAGCGUGGG
rnacentral:rRNA from 1 species